rnacentral:sRNA from 1 species
CGAGAUUUUCGGUUCGGUUCAUGAGAACCGAACGGUUAACCGAAAAUAAUAAAACCCUAACCUAACCUAGAUUACUAGCCGCCUACUCUUCUUCUUUGUCUUUUUUUUUUUUGAUUCACCGGGAGACGGAAGCUCCCGGAAUAUUAUUAAAAAAGAAA